GGACCAAGGAGUCUAGCAUGUGCGCGAGUCAUUGGGACUCUAACUAAACCUAAAGGCGCAAUGAAAGUGAAGGUCCGCCGUGCGCGGACCGAGGGAGGAUGGACGGUCNCGAGGGACCGCCCCGCACUCCCGGGGCGUCUCGUUCUCAAUUACGAGAAGAGGCGCACCCAGAGCGUACACGCUGGGACCCGAAAGAUGGUGAACUAUGCCUGGUCAGGACGAAGUCAGGGGAAACCCUGAUGGAGGUCCGUAGCGAUUCUGACGUGCAAAUCGAUCGUCGGAACUGGGUAUAGGGGCGAAAGACUAAUCGAACCAUCUAGUAGCUGGUUCCCUCCGAAGUUUCCCUCAGGAUAGCUGGCGCUCGCUUCUCGCGAGUCUCAUUCGGUAAAGCGAAUGAUUAGAGGCAUUGGGGUCGAAACGGCCUCAACCUAUUCUCAAACUUUAAAUGGGUGAGAUCUCCGGCUUGCUUGAACUGUGAAGCCGCGAGAUAUCGGAUCAGAGUGCCAAGUGGGCCACUUUUGGUAAGCAGAACUGGCGCUGUGGGAUGAACCAAACGCCGAGUUAAAGCGCCUAAAUCGACGCUUAUGGGAUACCAUGAAAGGCGUUGGUAACNUAAGACAGCAGGA
rnacentral:rRNA from 1 species